rnacentral:rRNA from 1 species
UACGAAGGGGGCUAGCGUUGUUCGGAAUUACUGGGCGUAAAGCGCACGUAGGCGGAUCGAUCAGUCAGGGGGGAAAUCCCAGGGCUCAACCCUGGAACUGCCUUUGAUACUGUCGAUCUGGAGUAUGGAAGAGGUGAGUGGAAUUCCGAGUGUAGAGGUGAAAUUCGUAGAUAUUCGGAGGAACACCAGUGGCGAAGGCGGCUGCCUGGGCCUGGCCUGACGCUAAGGCGCGAAAGCGUGGGGAGCGAGCCGG